UGGGGAAUUUUGCACAAUGGGGGAAACCCUGAUGCAGCGACGCCGCGUGAUUUAGAAGGCCUUCGGGUUGUAAAAAUCUUUUCUAUGGGAAGAAAAUGACAGUACCAUAGGAAUAAGUACCGGCUAAUUACGUGCCAGCAGCCGCGGUAAUACGUAAGGUCCGAGCGUUGUCCGGAAUCAUUGGGCGUAAAGGGUACGUAGGCGGGUAAGCAAGUUAGAAGUGAAAUCCUGUAGCUCAACUACAGUAAGCUUUUAAAACUGCUCAUCUUGAGAUAUGGAAGGGAAAGUGGAAUUCCUAGUGUAGCGGUGAAAUGCGCAGAUAUUAGGAGGAAUACCGGUGGCGAAGGCGACUUUCUGGCCAUAAUCUGACGCUGAGGUACGAAAGCGUGGGUAGCAAACAGG
rnacentral:rRNA from 1 species